rnacentral:rRNA from 1 species
AACGUAGGAGACGACCGUUAUCCGGAGUUACUGGGCGUAAAGGGCGUGUAGGCGGUAUGUUAAGUCUGGCGUGAAAGCUCUCGGCUAAACCGGGAGAGGUCGUUGGAUACUGGCACACUAGAGGAUGGUAGAGGCGUGUGGAAUUCCGGGUGUAGUGGUGAAAUGCGUAGAGAUCCGGAGGAACACCAGUGGCGAAGGCGACACGCUGGGCCAUACCUGACGCUAAAGCGCGACAGCAUGGGGAGCAAACGGG